AUCGAACGCUGGCGGCAGGCCUAACACAUGCAAGUCGAGCGGAUGAAGGGAGCUUGCUCCUGGAUUCAGCGGCGGACGGGUGAGUAAUGCCUAGGAAUCUGCCUGGUAGUGGGGGAUAACGUCCGGAAACGGGCGCUAAUACCGCAUACGUCCUGAGGGAGAAAGUGGGGGAUCUUCGGACCUCACGCUAUCAGAUGAGCCUAGGUCGGAUUAGCUAGUUGGUGGGGUAAAGGCCCACCAAGGCGACGAUCCGUAACUGGUCUGAGAGGAUGAUCAGUCACACUGGAACUGAGACACGGUCCAGACUCCUACGGGAGGCAGCAGUGGGGAAUAUUGGACAAUGGGCGAAAGCCUGAUCCAGCCAUGCCGCGUGUGUGAAGAAGGUCUUCGGAUUGUAAAGCACUUUAAGUUGGGAGGAAGGGCAGUAAGUUAAUACCUUGCUGUUUUGACGUUACCAACAGAAUAAGCACCGGCUAACUUCGUG
rnacentral:rRNA from 1 species